rnacentral:lncRNA from 1 species
AGGUCAUUAGCUCAAGAAGUAGUGUCAUAUAAUUAUGUGAAAAAGACAAACAAUCCUUUUGUUCAUAACAGAACAUAGCAACAACAUAAUUCUUACUUGGCAAGUAGUACGUGAGAAGCACCAACAUUGUGACUGGUAUAAGGCGAUAUUGUUUAAACACUAUACCCCUAAAUAUUCUUUCAUUCUCUGGGUAGCAAUGCGAGACAGACUUUCCACAGGGAGUAGGAUGGCUCAAUGGGAUAUAGGUGUAAACACUUCCUGCAGCUUUUGUCAAGACCCGCUGGAGUCCAUUGAGCAUUUGUUCUUUCAGUGCUCUUUUACUAGUCUUAUUUGGGAAAAUUUGGCAAGAGGAGUGCUAAAGGAUAGCUUCACUGCGAGAUGGUCUGAAAUUAAAAGGAUUGUAGUGGAUGAGAAUCAGGGGAGGCUAUUUCUCUUUACCAUUCGCUAUCUUUUCCAAACUUCAGUGCAUUAUAUUUGGAGGGAGAGAAAUAGGAGGAGACAUGGGGAACAAGGAUCUUCUCACUGUCUUCUUACUAAGCUCAUUGAAAAAACUGUAAGGAAUAAGCUUUAUAUCAUUCAAGGGAGGGAUAAGAAGUAUGAAGGAGGAUUGCAGUUUUGGUUUGGAACAAGAUAAGCUUGGCUGUCCUAGUAGGAGUGAGAGCUAGGUGCCCAGUAGGAGUGAGAGCUGGGUAAGUUUUUCAAGGAGGAGGAAUGUCCUAGUAGGAGUGAGAGCUAGGUGCCUAGUAGGAGUGAGGGCUAGGUAUUGAAGAAGUUCUUUUGAGUGAUGGAAGAGUAGUUGAUUGGAGUAGUAGUAUGAGUUUUUUUUUUUUUUUUUUGAUUUUCUAGUAUAGUUUUUAUAAGAAAGGACUCACUUAGUGUUGUAAAAAGGUUUUUUUCUUUUGAAUUCAAUUUAACAUUCAAUUCAAAAAAAAAAAAAAAACAACAUAAUUCUUUAUUUUAAUAUCUCACAUAGUAUUCAUUUUCGCUUGAGCAAGAGAAAGUAGGUCACAUUUUUCUCGCACUCUUUAAAAUCAAUCGGGUACUUGGCGAGUUUCUUAGCAACCCGAUCAAAUAGCUCAUCGAUCACAUCUUCUCCGAAAUGUUCUUUUAUGAUCGUGCUGAGAAUAGCUCUAAACAUGGAAAUCAAGAACUGGUUGGAUAACGGAAUAUCCUCCAAUGGAUGCCGUACGCUCUCCAUAGUCUCAAUUGUAAAGCUUCUAUUUUUCUCAAUCUCUGUCUUUAAUUCACUAAAUUGUGGGAAAUACGCAGGAAUGGUGAACAGCCCGAUCUUUUCCUCGCUCG